rnacentral:tRNA from 1 species
UGCGUGGCUCAGUGGUUGGAGUAUUUGACUCACGAUCAUAAGGCCUUGAGUUCAAUUCUCAGCAGUGCAA